rnacentral:rRNA from 1 species
UGGGGAAUCUUGCACAAUGGGGGCAACCCUGAUGCAGCGACGCCGCGUGAGCGAUGAAGCCCUUCGGGGCGUAAAGCUCUUUCGACCGGAACGAUAAUGACGGUACCGGGAGAAGAAGCUGCGGCUAACUACGUGCCAGCAGCCGCGGUAAUACGUAGGCAGCAAGCGUUGUUCGGAGUUACUGGGCGUAAAGAGUGCGUAGGCGGUUUUCUAAGUUCGGUGUGAAAUCUCUCGGCUUAACUGGGAGGGUGCGCCGAAGACUGGGAAGCUGGAGUGUGGGAAAGGCAGGCGGAAUUCCUGGUGUAGCGGUGAAAUGCGUAGAUAUCAGGAGGAACACCGGCGGUGUAGACGGCUUGCUAAACCAUAACUGACGCUGAGGCACGAAAGCGUGGGUAGCAAACA